GCAGGGUUCGAAUCCUGCCCGGCCACGGUCGCGCGCUGUGGCCACAGCCAGACCCCUUAACCUCUCUGAACGGCUGUUUCUCCUUCACUUAAAAAACAAAACAACAAAGCUAUUCGCUCAGGAAGUAAAUUCCCACGCCAGGCACUCGUUCUGGGUUACAGUGCAGAGAGACUGCCAUCAGUGAGGAAGCGGGUCCCCUCAUGAAUCUGCCAGCCCUGUGAUCUUGGACUUGCCAGCCUCUAGAGAUGUGAAAACUAAAGGUGAACAUACUGAGAUGCAGAGAAGGACAAGUUGCUGUUUGGGUUGGGAAAGCUAGGUUCCCACGGAUUCCCCAAAGAAGCCAGCCCCGGACCAAGCUAACAUAGCAUGAUAGAGCAGAGGUGAACAUGGCUUUGGAAGGCAGGCAGAGUCCAUCUCAGCUCAACCAAUUGAGUGAUCUUAGGAAGGGUAUUUACCUAUGAAUCUCAGUUUCUGCACCUUUAAAAUAGGGUAACCACAACCACCUCCCAGUCUUGCUCUAUGAAUCAGUUGACAAAAUGAAUGUAAGGCCCUCGAGUAAAUACCUGACUCACAGCAAGGGCGCACUACGUGGUAGCCGUUGCCACUAUGAUUGUGACUCAGCGGCCGACAAGGCCCGGCUGUGCGUUAUUUACGUGCCCGAUAGUCUGGUUGUGUCUUCUGCCCGAGGCGGUUCCUGAGAGCAAAAUGCUCGAAGUUCUCCACACCCAGCUGUGCACAUGGCCGGGAACCGAGACCACUCACAACAGGGCCUAUUUCCGUGACCAGUGGAUGCCAAUGGCCCCUCGCUGGAAACGUUGACGAGCGCGGCUCAGGACACAGAAGCCGCCAACAGGCUUCCAAACUCUGCCAAGCCCUCCUGCCCACUCGAGCACCAAGGGGAGGGGGUGACUGUGGCAUAAACACACGUUUGCUUUCAUUUGGCUUAGCUGACUGUGUGUUUUGUUAAACACAUUUAGGUUUGGAAAAGAUUAUUUUUGGUACACUGCUGCGUAAUUAGAUGAAUUUUCAUGAGUUUAUUCUUGAAAUAAACUUUGAAAUUGUC